CCAAAAGCAAGUUUCUAUUAAUAAUAAUACAAGUGGAAAUCUUCCAGAAAAUUUUAUAUUUCCAUUAAAAGAAAUUGAUGAACUCUUACAGUUAAAUAGCAUUUUUCUGGAAAAUACUAAUCAAAAUGUCGAUCAAAUGCAGUUAUUUUUUUGUCUCUAAUUGAAGGAAAUGGUCUUGAUGACUGUUUGAGAAAAGUUGCUAAGAAAAUCUUGACAGCAAAACUCUCAAUGCUUUAUAACUUUACAGGAAGAAAAGAGUAAAUUAGAGUUUGGUUGUCUAGUUGGGGUGAAAAAUGUGAUAUAUGGAGGUAAUGGCAGUAGUUCAAUGUUGUAGUUUAUUAAAGAAAUCCACUAGCUGUUUUGGCCUCAGGGAAUAGGUGCUACAAAAUAGGCAAAAUAAGAAAUACACUCAUAUUAAAUAAUAAACACUGACCUAUCUAUCCAUAAUUAUGGUUAUUAAAAAGUGGAGGGUUCGAGCUCAAGCUAAGAAGAAGAACUACAAACGCCACAAACGAUGAUGCAUUAAUCACUUCCUACACCACUACAUCUAUAUGUCUAAUUGUACUUACAUUUCACAAAAGGUUUGGUAAACCAGAGCUGAAAGCUGAUGUUAAUGAGCAGUGGCAGAAACAAGCCUGCAUCGGACAAACCAUUAAUGCACCUCUCUCAGAUGCCUUGACUUUUCUACUCCAAAAUAUAAAUGAUCUUCUGGAAAUCAACCCAAUUGCAAGAUU
rnacentral:lncRNA from 1 species